GAGUCACCGCGUGUGGCUUGGCUGACAAAGACGAUGGAAUCUGAAGCAGAUGCACUGAGCAAUUGUGUGCGUGUGUGUUUGUCUCCUGGUCCCUGAGAAUCUGCCUUCCCUCCCGAAAGCUGACGACAGACAUUCUUAACCUCCAAAGCCAAGUCAGAAGAAAAUCAGCGAGUACUCUGCAGUGGUCUAGGACUGAAAUGAUCAAAUUCCAGUAAGUCUUUUAUCGUAAAAAUCCGUGAGACUUUCACAGUCUCUUCACACGCGUAAAAUUUCCCUCCAAAGGGCCCAGUGGAACUGACUCCUGGGGGGCAGGCACUCAGCCCUGUGGGUGGUCCCGGAGGGAGGUGCAUCCGGGAGGCCAGGAGCCCAGCACUGUGACCAAACCGGAGACGACUUCUCCAGAACAGUCCCGGGCCCCAUUUCCUGCCCUGCUUCUCAGCACCUUCUAGAGGUGGAUGGACACAUAGGCUCAAGGUCAUCGGCGCGGCCACAGAGAGGUUUCAAGGCCAGGCUGCUCUGGGGCGAGCUUUGCCUCCAGCUGUUAGAUUCUCACCCGCCCUCUCGUUUGUCCACGUGCUAAUUGAGGUUAAGAGUCUGAGGCUGUCACUGUCCCCCUGGGGAGUUUUGGGGUGAGCACUAGAGAUCAGCUCUGCUGACGACAUUGGAAAGAGAGGAACUCAGAAACCAAGUGCGUCCAGGAAGGUAUGAGGGUAAGCUUCCUCAAGGUCUUUGCAGAGCAUCGCAGGGAUAUCAAUAAAUAGUAAAAAACAAAUCCUCAUAAUGCGAAAUGGUGCAGCCACCUUGGAAAACAGUCUAGCAAUUCCUCAAAAAGCCCACAGCUGGGCUCAUACCCAAGGGAAGUGGAAACGCGUCUCACCAAAAAACUUGCCACGGCUUUUCACGGCAGCGUCACCACCACAACGGUCAAAAAGUGGGAACCACCCAAAUAUCCACGGACCGAUGAAUGGAUAAAUAAAAUGUAACGCAUCCGUAUAAUGGACUCUGAGUUGACAGUAAAGGGGAAGGACAUACUUAUGCUACAUGAUGAACCUUGAGAACACUGCAGAGUCAAAGAAGCCAGACACAAAGUGCCACUGCGUGUGUGGUUCCAUUCACAAACAAAUGAGCGGAGGGGCUCAGUCGGUUAAGCGUCUGACUUCGGCUCGGGUCAUGAUCUUACAUUUUGUGGGACUGAGCCCUGAGUAGGGGUCUGCCCCGACAGCUUGGAGCCCGCUUGGGAUUCCCUCUCCCCUCCCCUCUCUCUGCCCCUCCACGUGUGUGUGUCUCUCUCUCUCAAAAUAAAUAAGCACUAAAUAACAAAGAAAGAAAGCAAUGAGCAGAAGAGAGACAGGAGGCAAAAUCGGGACUGCCAGGGCCUGGGGAGUGGGGAAUGGGGGGUGGCCACUAAUGGGUAUGAGGUUUCUUCGGUGAUGAAAAUGUUCUGGGACUGGAUAGUGGUAAUGGCUGCACAAUCUUGUGAGGAUACUAAAAACUACCGAGUUGUACACUUUCACAUGGUGAAUUUAGGAGACAUAAAACCACAUCUCAAUUAAAAAUACAGUUUUCCAUGCA